CCUGUCCUGAGAGUGUCAGGCUGUAACGUCUCCAUACACGGGAAAUGGUGUCGCCUAUGUGCACUCCGAACGGAGCAGCACACGUACUGGGAAGAGGCUCUGGAGGUCUGACCCGACGACAGCACUCAUCCGCGGACUGAGAAGGAGGGACUGGCCGUAGCAAACAACCACUUUAACCUUUUCAGGAACCUGUGUCAGAGAGAAACACACAGCACGGGGCUGCAAAGACGGAAACCAGUUUGUCUCAAUGCAUUCCAGCCCUGCACAGUCUUGACUUCGGGCGCAGAGAUGUGAAGAUGUUUGAUGUGUAGAGAGCACAACUUGGAGAGAGCAGAGCAAGACUUUAUUCUAAACACAUUUGCCACGGACACUCACUCGGCUUCCUUUGAAGAUUUUGCAUCACGGAUGCCUUGCAGACAGAUCUUUUGCAAAUAG
rnacentral:lncRNA from 1 species